UACGGAGGGUGCAAGCGUUAUCCGGAUUUACUGGGUUUAAAGGGUGCGUAGGCGGCCGCGCAAGUCUGGCGUGAAAGCCCCGGGCUCAGCCCGGGAAGGGCGCUCGAAACGGCGCGGCUCGAGUGCCGGAGGGGAGAGUGGAAUUCCUGGUGUAGCGGUGAAAUGCGUAGAUAUCAGGAGGAAUACCGGUGGCGAAAGCGACUCUCUGGACGGCAACUGACGCUGAGGCACGAAAGCGUGGGGAGCAAACAGG
rnacentral:rRNA from 1 species